rnacentral:rRNA from 1 species
AGAGUUUGAUCCUGGCUCAGAUUGAACGCUGGCGGCAUGCUUUACACAUGCAAGUCGAGCGGCAGCGCGGGGGCAACCCUGGCGGCGAGCGGCGAACGGGUGAGUAAUACAUCGGAACGUAUCCCGUAGUGGGGGAUAACCCGGCGAAAGCCGGGCUAAUACCGCAUAUGCUCUACGGAGGAAAGUGGGGGACCUGCAAGGGCCUUACGCUAUGGGAGCGGCCGAUGUCCGAUUAGCUAGUUGGUGGGGUAAAGGCCUACCAAGGCGACGAUCGGUAGCUGGUCUGAGAGGACGGCCAGCCACACUGGGACUGAGACACGGCCCAGACUCCUACGGGAGGCAGCAGUGGGGAAUAUUGGACAAUGGGGGCAACCCUGAUCCAGCAAUGCCGCGUGUGUGAAGAAGGCCUGCGGGUUGUAAAGCACUUUUGUUAGGGAGGAGUGGUGAGAGGUUAAGAGCUACUUACCAGGACGUUACCUAAAGAAUAAGCACCGGCUAACUCCGUGCCAGCCGCCGCGGUAAUAC